UGAGUGUGUGUGUGAGUUUGUGUGUGAUGAGUAUGUGUGAGUGAGUGUGUGUGCAAUGAGUGUGUGUGUGUGUGUUAUGUGUGUGUGUGUGAGUGUGUGUGUGAAAGUUUGUGUGUGUGAUGAGUAUGUGUGAGUGUGUGUGUGUAACUAGACAGCAGGGAAGAAGAUCACAGCCGGACCCUCCAGUGUCAGAGGGCACUGCUGAAGGACGGAGAGCAGUGGGUGAACUCCGUGCAUAUUAACACAAUUUUAAGAUUUGACAAAUGAUUUCCUUUUAGUUGGCAAAA